rnacentral:rRNA from 1 species
UGACCGCGGGCGGCGUGCCGACUACAUGCAAGUCGAGCGAACAGACGAGGAGCUUGCUCCUCUGACGUUAGCGGCGGACGGGUGAGUAACACGUGGAUAACCUACCUAUAAGACUGGGAUAACUUCGGGAAACCGGAGCUAAUACCGGAUAAUAUAUUGAACCGCAUGGUUCAAUAGUGAAAGACGGUUUUGCUGUCACUUAUAGAUGGAUCCGCGCCGCAUUAGCUAGUUGGUAAGGUAACGGCUUACCAAGGCAACGAUGCGUAGCCGACCUGAGAGGGUGAUCGGCCACACUGGAACUGAGACACGGUCCAGACUCCUACGGGAGGCAGCAGUAGGGAAUCUUCCGCAAUGGGCGAAAGCCUGACGGAGCAACGCCGCGUGAGUGAUGAAGGUCUUCGGAUCGUAAAACUCUGUUAUUAGGGAAGAACAAAUGUGUAAGUAACUAUGCACGUCUUGACGGUACCUAAUCAGAAAGCCACGGCUAACUACGUC